GUCGAGCGCACUCUUUUAGAGUGAGCGGCAAACGGGUGAGUAACGCGUGGGAAUCUACCCAUCUCUACGGAAUAACACAGAGAAAUUUGUGCUAAUACCGUAUACGUCCUAUUGGAGAAAGAUUUAUCGGAGAUGGAUGAGCCCGCGUUGGAUUAGCUAGUUGGUGAGGUAACGGCUCACCAAGGCGACGAUCCAUAGCUGGUCUGAGAGGAUGAUCAGCCACACUGGGACUGAGACACGGCCCAGACUCCUACGGGAGGCAGCAGUGGGGAAUAUUGGACAAUGGGGGCAACCCUGAUCCAGCCAUGCCGCGUGAGUGAUGAAGGCCCU
rnacentral:rRNA from 1 species